rnacentral:rRNA from 1 species
UUGGGAUCUUGGUGGGUAGUAGGUGAGCGAUGGGGUGACGCAGGAAGGUAGCUGAGCCCGGCCGGUGGUUGUGCCGGGGUAAGCGUGUAGCCCGUGGUGUAGGCAAAUCCGCACCACAUGAGGGUGAGACGUGAUGCCGAGCCGUUUCAGGUGAAGUCAGUGAUCCUAUGCUGCCGAGAAAAGCCUCUAGCGAGUUGUUAGCGGCCCGUACCCGAAACCGACACAGGUGGUCAGGUAGAGAAUACCGAGGCGACGGGCGAACUGUGGUUAAGGAACUCGGCAAAUUGCCCCCGUAACUUAGGGAGAAGGGGGGCCUCUGCUGGUGAUGGCACUUGCUGCUGGAGCUGGUGGGGGUCGCAGAGAGCAGGGGGAAGCGACUGUUUACUAAAAACACAGGUCCAUGCGAAGUCGUAAGACGCUGUAUAUGGACUGACGCCUGCCCGGUGCUGGAACGUUAAGGGGACCGGUUAGUCCGUGAGGGCGAAGCUGAGAACUUAAGCGCCAGUAAACGGCGGUGGUAACUAUAACCAUCCUAAGGUAGCGAAAUUCCUUGUCGGGUAAGUUCCGACCUGCACGAAUGGCGUAACGACUUCCCCACUGUCUCAACCACAGGCCCGGCGAAAUUGCAGUACGAGUAAAGAUGCUCGUUACGCGCGGCAGGACGGAAAGACCCCGGGACCUUUACUAUAGCUUGACAUUGGUAUCCGAAUUCGAUUGUGUAGGAUAGGUGGGAGCCUGUGAAGCUCGGACGCCAGUUCGGGUGGAGGCAACGUUGAAAUACCACUCUGUUGUGUUUGGGUAUCUAACUUCGGACCGUUAUCCGGUUCAGGGACAGUGUCUGGUGGGUAGUUUAACUGGGGCGGUUGCCUCCUAAAAGGUAACGGAGGCGCCCAAAGGUUCCCUCAGCCUGGUUGGCAAUCAGGUGUUGAGUGCAAGUGCACAAGGGAGCUUGACUGUGAGACUGACAGGUCGAGCAGGGACGAAAGUCGGGACUAGUGAUCCGGCACUGGCUUGUGGAAGCGGUGUCGCUCAACGGAUAAAAGGUACCCCGGGGAUAACAGGCUGAUCUUCCCCAAGAGUCCAUAUCGACGGGAUGGUUUGGCACCUCGAUGUCGGCUCGUCGCAUCCUGGGGCUGUAGCAGGUCCCAAGGG